GGAAUUGUUCGCAAUGGGCGCAAGCCUGACGACGCAACGCCGCGUGGAGGAUGAAGGUCUUCGGAUUGUAAACUCCUGUUGCCCGGGACGAAAAGCUUCGGCCUAACACGUCGAAGUCUGACGGUACCGGGUGAGGAAGCCCCGGCUAACUUCGUGCCAGCAGCCGCGGUAAGACGAAGGGGGCUAGCGUUGUUCGGAAUUACUGGGCGUAAAGCGCACGUAGGCGGCCUUUCAAGUCAGAUGUGAAAGCCCCGAGCUUAACUCGGGAAAUGCAUUUGAUACUGUUGGGCUAGAGACCGGGAGAGGAUAGCGGAAUUCCCAGUGUAGAGGUGAAAUUCGUAGAUAUUGGGAAGAACACCAGUGGCGAAGGCGGCUAUCUGGACCGGUACUGACGCUGAGGUGCGAAAGCGUGGGGAGCAAAC
rnacentral:rRNA from 1 species